AAGAUGAUAAUUGUGAGAAGGGUCAGAAAUUGAUUAUUGUGGUGUUGGCUGUCAGAGAGCCACCUCCUUAUUAUUCUCCGACACCUCCAAACACUCCUUACGUUCCAAUUACUCCUCCAAAAGCACCUUAUCAUCCAAAUCCACCUUAUGUUCCAACCCCUCCAAACACUCCUUAUGUUCCAAUUACUCCUCCGAGAGCACCUUAUGUUCCAGCACCUCCUCAAACUCCAACUGUUCCAACUCCUCCAGAAACUCCUUAUCAUCCACCCUAUGUUCCAAUACCUCCUCCUAAAACACCUUCACCUAUUUCCAGUCCUCCCUAUGUUCAUCCAAAACCACCUUCACCUAUUCAUUAUCCACCUAAUGUUCCAACACCUCCAAAAACUCCUUCCCCUGUAUACACUCCUCCCAAUGUUCCCACUCAAGCACCUUCACCUGCUAAUCAUCCUCCAUAUAUUCCAACUCCUCCACAAACUCCUUCCCCAGUUUAUACUCCUCCUAAUUUUCCAACGCCUCCAAAAAUACCCUCUCCUGUGUACACUCCCCCAAAAGCUCCUUCCCCUAGUAACAAUCCACCCUAUGUUCCUACACCUCCAAAAACACCUUCUCCUUCUUAUAAUCCUCCUAAUGUUCCCACUCCUCCCAAAACACCUUCACCUAUUUACACUCCACCAAAUGUUCCUACUCCUCCAAAAACACCAUCUCCUGCUUAUAGUCCUCCAAAUGCUCCUUCCCCUCAUAACCAACCAAAUGUUCCUACUCCUCCAAAAACACCAUCUCCUGCUUAUAGUCCUCCAAAUGCUCCUUCCCCUCAUAACCAACCUCCCUAUGUUCCUACACCUCCAAAAACACCUUCUCCUUCUUAUAAUCCUCCUAAUGUUCCCACUCCUCCCAAAACACCUUCACCUAUUUACACUCCACCAAAUGUUCCUACUCCUCCAAAAACACCAUCUCCUGCUUAUAGUCCUCCAAAUGCUCCUUCCCCUCAUAACCAACCUCCCUAUGUUCCUACACCUCCAAAAACACCUUCUCCUUCUUAUAAUCCUCCUAAUGUUNNN
rnacentral:lncRNA from 1 species